rfam:Erwinia mallotivora strain BT-MARDI contig_46, whole genome shotgun sequence.
AGCAGGGUGCCACUAAACCAAAAAAGAGUGAGCCGGCGGCGCAGGGGGCGCGGUCGGCAGGU